GACGAACGCUGGCGGCGUGCUUAACACAUGCAAGUCGAACGGAAAGGCCCUGCUUUUGUGGGGUGCUCGAGUGGCGAACGGGUGAGUAACACGUGAGUAACCUGCCCUUGACUUUGGGAUAACUUCAGGAAACUGGGGCUAAUACCGGAUAGGAGCUCCUGCUGCAUGGUGGGGGUUGGAAAGUUUCGGCGGUUGGGGAUGGACUCGCGGCUUAUCAGCUUGUUGGUGGGGUAGUGGCUUACCAAGGCUUUGACGGGUAGCCGGCCUGAGAGGGUGACCGGCCACAUUGGGACGGAGAUACGGCCCAGCCUCCUACGGGAGGCAGCAGUGGGGAAUAUUGCACAAUGGGCGGAAGCCUGAUGCAGCAACGCCGCGUGCGGGAUGACGGCCUUCGGGUUGUAAACCGCUUUCGCCUGUGACGAAGCGUGAGUGACGGUAAUGGGUAAAGAAGCACCGGCUAACUACGU
rnacentral:rRNA from 1 species